CGAGAUUCGUUGAUUAUGGUGGAGGUGAAUGCGACGCGGUUCACACCUUCAGCUCGAAGGAAUCAGAUUCCAACUAAACUUAGAUGCGCUGUUCGAUCAGUGGGUUUCUUUUUUGCUUCUAACUCUUCAAUAUUUUUUCCAAAUUUCUUUUGCAUAUCGAUCCUUUCCCAUUUUUGGCUUUUCGAUGUUUUUGAGGGAUUGGCGUUUUGAGCUUUUCUCAGUUGUUCAUAAUCUGGUCUGGACGCUAUAGUAGAUGGUAAUUUCGAGAAAGAUUUCUGCUCGUGUUCCUGGGUUUCGGUCGAUUCUCAGGCUUUGUUUGGUAGGAUAGCACUACUUAAAACUUUGUUGUGAUAAUGUCAAGACCUUGGGUUCUUGUCUGUCUACUGUUAUUGAUCGUGUUCUCAUCGCAACUUGAGUGGAGGCAACAGUAUGAGAACGAGCUUGAAGCAGGUCCAAACGCUUCACAGAGUGAACCACAUGUGUCUGAUAGAGAGGAAGCUGUAAAAGAAAAGAUUAUCCUUUCCCAGGAGAGAAAUAUCCGGAGAUUAAAUGAGCUGGUGCAGAGUCUUAGAACACAGUUACUCCAGUGCAGGGGUGAACACGAGGCACAGAAUAGCAUGGUGACGCCCAUGACAGAGCUUCUAACAGUGCUCGACCAGCAGCCGUUGUUAGACGAUUAGAUCCCAUGGUACUAACCACCAUACUCGACGUUUGCAGGUUCUAUUUCUGCUCAGUAAUCAGUAAUCUAGCUUCAUGACUCUACCCAUCACUGAUAUUAUAUAUCAAAUACAAGCUCUAUUACUAGUCAUUGUAGAUGCUACUGUGUGAAUUCCUUCCCUAUUCUAGUUUCUUAUCUGUGAUUCCUGGGUUUGAUUCAUCUAGUUCAUGCUGUGGCUUUAGACCUGAUGCCGCUAUCUUGAAACAUCCAUUGCCCUCUUUCACACCUUGACAUCACUAAAACUUGGACCAUUCUUAUAUUCAAUGCUUCCUUAGUAUUACAAACUAACUAUUACGAGUACGAAAUCAUAUAUAUAGAUAUAUACACAUCAACGGAAAUGUGGUGCAAUAAUUUCUU